CCUACGGGAGGCAGCAGUGAGGAAUAUUGGUCAAUGGCCGGAAGGCUGAACCCGCCAUUCCGCGUGAAGGUCAGUGCCCUAUGGGCGUUAAACUUCUUUUGUGCGGGAGCAAUAAUGGUCACGUGUGGCCAGACGAGAGUACCGUACGAAUAAGCAUCGGCUAACUCCGUGCCAGCAGCCGCGGUAAUACGGGGGAUGCAAGCGUUAUCCGGAUUUAUUGGGUUUAAAGGGUGCGUAGGCUGUGAGGUAAGUCAGCGGUGAAAUGCCCCCGCUCAACGGGGUGAAGUGCCAUUGAUACUGCCUGGCUGGAAUGCGGAUGCCGUGGGAGGAAUGUGUGGUGUAGCGGUGAAAUGCAUAGAUAUCACACAGAACACCGAUUGCGAAGGCAUCUCACGAAUCCGCGAUUGACGCUGAUGCACGAAAGCGUGGGUAUCAAACAGGAUUAGAUACCCUUGUAGUC
rnacentral:rRNA from 1 species